rnacentral:miRNA from 1 species
GACUGGUCCCUGGGUGCAGGCUGGGGGGAAAAGGGGACUGGUCCCCUUUCCCCCCCAGCCUGCACCCAGGGACCAGUC